AAUGAAUUGCCUGAUUAAAGGAUUACUUUGAUAGAGUAAAUUAAAUAAUAUAAUAUUAUAUUCAUUA
rnacentral:tRNA from 1 species